rnacentral:rRNA from 1 species
CAUUAUCAAUAACAAAGGUCGCGUCAAAUGAGAUAACAAAGAAGUAAAUAGAGAGAGAACAGUAGGAGAAAAAGAAGCACGAAAGCGAAAUACAGGCCAGGACAAAACAAGUAAGAAUAUAGAAAAAAAAAGACUACAUAAAAAAAGAAGCAAACGAUACAGGAGACAAAAAUAAACAAUAAAGAUAGCUAAACAAUAUGAUAUAAUUAAAAAUUAACUAAGCUAAAGUAUACGACAUCAAGAACAAAAGAGACAUCAAAAAAAAAGAGAGAAAAAAAAAAAAAAUAUCGAAAAGAGAAAGGACACAAAGCAGAGAGGAAGAAAGAGAACAUAGCACAAACAAAAUUUAUAGAAAGGAUGAAAAAGAAGACAUUGUACAAAAACACAUAAAAAAAGAAAGAUAUCAAAAUUCGAUCAAAUAAGAAAAAAAAAAAAAGUCGAGAAAAUGAAUAACAACAACCGGAAAAUAGGAGAAAAAAAAACCGUACUAAGGCAAGGAAAAUAACGAAAGUCAAAGACUCAGACAAAACACGAAAGGGACCGGAAAUAGGAAAAAUGAUGCAAAAAUGAAGAAAAAAAACUGUACAAGAAAAUUAAAGUAAAGAAGAAUGUAAAACAAAGAAACAAAAAAAUCGAAUAUACAAAGAAGAGGCGUGAACCACAGAAUGGGACGAAGGGAACAAGACUUUGGGAGGUAGCGGACCUUUUUGAUGAAAUCGGAAGUAUACUUGAUGAUUCUUGGUAGGAGGCAUAGGACCAAUUAUUGGUAUCCAUAUUACUUUUGGCAACGGGACGUGGGGAGAGAUCAAAGANGAAGAUUCUUGGUCAUUUAGAGGAAGUAAAAGUCGUAACAAGGUCUCCGUAGGUGAACCUGCGGAGGGAUCAUUA